GAUGAACGCUGGCGGCGUGCCUAAUACAUGCAAGUCGAGCGAACAGACGAGGAGCUUGCUCCUCUGACGUUAGCGGCGGACGGGUGAGUAACACGUGGAUAACCUACCUAUAAGACUGGGAUAACUUCGGGAAACCGGAGCUAAUACCGGAUAAUAUAUUGAACCGCAUGGUUCAAUAGUGAAAGACGGUUUUGCUGUCACUUAUAGAUGGAUCCGCGCCGCAUUAGCUAGUUGGUAAGGUAACGGCUUACCAAGGCAACGAUGCGUAGCCGACCUGAGAGGGUGAUCGGCCACACUGGAACUGAGACACGGCCCAGACUCCGACGGGAGGCAGCAGUAGGGACUCUUCCGAAAUGGGCGAAAGCCUGACGGAGCAACGCCGCGUGAGUGAUGAAGGUCUUCGGAUCGUAAAACGCUGUUAUUAGGGAAGAACAAAUGUGUAAGUAACGAUGCACGUCUUGACGGUACCUAAUCAGAAAGCCACGGCUAACUACGU
rnacentral:rRNA from 1 species